UCUCCCUUAGCGACAGAACAAAUGCGUUCUCUCCAGCCCGCUGCCAAAGCUUGGGGACGGGGGCCUCCCUGAGCCAAACCAGCUUGUUCACGCAGACCGCGUUCAGACUGGUAGGAACUGGAGAAACUGGUAUCUCCCCCUCUCCCAGCACCGGCACACCCCUCAGCCCUUGCCCUUGAAGUCCCAACGGGGGAACGAGCACAUUCUUUCCUGGGGCAGCUGCUCUGCUGACUUCCAGUGUGCUGUGCUCUGAGCUCACAGAAUCAGAGGCAGCAAAGGGGGAGCUGCCAGUGCCCAGGCCCGCGGGGACCAGCGCUUUGGAGACACACGUUUGCUUUCUUCCCUCCGCAUCCAUCAGAUGCGCUGGCUUGUCCUGCACAGACACGGCCAGGUCUUGCCCUUCCGCAGAGGAAGAAAAGGAAAUGUGAAUGGCUCAUGUAAGAUUGGAAGGAUCCCCAGUCUCGCUUAAGGAAGGAGAAAUGCACAUUGGAUGUGGAUGGUGGGAUGCUCUCGUGGCAAGCCUGACAAAGUCAGCGUUCUACGCAAAUGGCUUUGGACUUUGUUCUCUUCACUUUAUUGAAUAUCUUGGCGAUCUUUCCAGUCAGUGCCCAAAUAGUGUCUUCAUUCAUAUUUACAGCUUUAUAGUGUCCUAUUUACGGAUACGCUAUAAAUUUAUUUAACUAGUUUCCUAUUGAUGGACCCUUGGGUUGCUUCCAAUCUUUGGCUACCACAAACAACACCCCCACCCUCCCCACCCCCAAGGACAUUUCCUGCAUGUGCAGGUAUGUCUGUAGGAUAAAUUCCCGUAAGUAGGAUGGUUGGGUCAAAAGCAAGUGUGUUUGUGAUAUUUAUAAGGCUUUCCAGGUACUCUGAAAGGGGUUGUACCAUAUACACAGCUCCUGGUCAUCGAGGAGGGAUGCUUGUUCCCCACAGCCUCACUGCAUGGACAUUUCACAGCAGUUUUCUUUUUUAAGGUUUAUUUAUGCAUUUAUAUGAAAGAGUGCUCAUGAGUGAGGGGAGGGGCAGAGGGAAAGAAUCUUUCAAGCAGACCCUGUACUGAGGGUUCCAUCGCAGGACUCUGAAAUCACGACCUCAUCCGAAACCAAGAGUCAGUCGUCUAACCGACCGAGCCAGACCGGCGCCCCUGAUGGUGGUUUUCAUCUGCAUUCUUCUUUAAAGUGAGACUGAACAUCAUUCCAUUCGUGUAAGGAGCCACUUUGCCUUUCCUUUUCUCUGAGCUCCCUCUGUGUCUCCUCUUGCAUCUAAAUAAAGAUCGUCUUGUUGGC